rnacentral:rRNA from 1 species
AGGACGAACGCUGGCGGCGUGCUUAACACAUGCAAGUCGAGCGGUAAGGCCUUUCGGGGUACACGAGCGGCGAACGGGUGAGUAACACGUGGGUGAUCUGCCCUGCACUCUGGAUAAGCCUGGGAAACUGGGUCUAAUACCGGAUAUGACCUGCUCUCGCAGUGGGGGGUGGGUAGGAAAGUAUUUAGUCGGUGCAGGAGUCGGGCCCGCGGCCUAUCAGCUUGGUUGGUGGGUAAUCGGCCGUACCGAAGGCGACGACGGGUACGCCGACCGUGAGGAGGGUCGACCGGCCACACGUGGGACUGACGACGACCGGCCCAGACCUCC